rnacentral:rRNA from 1 species
GAUUAGAUACCCUGGUAGUCCACGCCGUAAACGAUGUCGACUUGGAGGUUGUGCCCUUGAGGCGUGGCUUCCGGAGCUAACGCGUUAAGUCGACCGCCUGGGGAGUACGGCCGCAAGGUUAAAACUCAAAUGAAUUGACGGGGGCCCGCACAAGCGGUGGAGCAUGUGGUUUAAUUCGAUGCAACGCGAAGCACCUUACCUGGUCUUGACAUCCACAGAACUUUCCAGAGAUGGAUUGGUGCCUUCGGGAACUGUGAGACAGGUGCUGCAUGGCUGUCGUCAGCUCGUGUUGUGAAAUGUUGGGUUAAGUCCCGCAACGAGCGCAACCCUUAUCCUUUGUUGCCAGCGGUCCGGCCGGGAACUCAAAGGAGACUGCCAGUGAUAAACUGGAGGAAGGUGGGGAUGACGUCAAGUCAUCAUGGCCCUUACGACCAGGGCUACACACGUGCUACAAUGGCGCAUACAAAGAGAAGCAAUCUCGCGAGAGCUAGCGGACCUCAUAAAGUGCGUCGUAGUCCGGAUUGGAGUCUGCAACUCGGCUCCAUGAAGUCGGAAUCGCUAGUAAUCGUGAAUCAGAAUGCCACGGUGAAUACGUUCCCGGGCCUUGUACACACCGCCCGUCACACCAUGGGAGUGGGUUGCAAAAGAAGUAGGUAGCUUAACCUCCGGGAGGGCGCUUACCACUUUGUGAUUCAUGACUGGGGUGAAGUCGUAACAAGG